AAUGGGAUGGCUGAAGUUAGGUAAUAAAUUGUAAGUUUGUUUAUGAUAUUUUUAUAUCUCUCAUUA
rnacentral:tRNA from 1 species